UGUUGAAACAGUUGAGCCGACUCUAACCUGCCAUCUCCCACCAACAAAGUCCAUGUUUGAUUAAUGCAACGUGCAAACAGCAAGAGGGUGAAACCAGGUGACCCCAGGGCAGGACGACACAGUCAAGAGGGACCAGAGAGGAGAAAGCUACCCACAUGGGAAAAUCUAACUGGACUCCUGCCACUCCCGUUCUGCCGAAGAGUAAUCACAGCUACUCACUGACAAUGAUGUCGAUGGCGAGAGGAGGCUUCUCCCCCAAGCACCUCGGGUCAAUGGUUUUGUUCGUUCCAUUAUUCAUCGCUGGAGGAUGUCGACAGAUUUCUCUCCACAAACAACAAGCGCAACUUCUGCCGCUGGUCUCUCUCGUAUCCACGGACGCAGCGUGCGUAAAGUUUGCGGGUGCGGACUCUCCUCUUCGCUCCAAGUAUCCAAA